rnacentral:rRNA from 1 species
AUUGAACGCUGGCGGAAUGCUUUACACAUGCAAGUCGAACGGUAGAGGGGGCAACCCCUCGAGAGUGGCGAACGGGUGAGUAAUAUAUCGGAACGUGCCCAGUCGUGGGGGAUAACGUAGCGAAAGUUACGCUAAUACCGCAUACGAUCUAAGGAUGAAAGCGGGGGAUCGCAAGACCUCGCGCGAUUGGAGCGGCCGAUAUCAGAUUAGGUAGUUGGUGGGGUAAAGGCUCACCAAGCCAACGAUCUGUAGCUGGUCUGAGAGGACGACCAGCCACACUGGAACUGAGACACGGUCCAGACUACUACGGGAGGCAGCAGUGGUGAAUUUUGGAUAAUGGACGCAAGUCUGUUCCGGCCAUUCCGCGUGCAGGAUGAAGGCGCUCGGGUUGUAAACUGCUUUUGUACGGAACGAAAAGGUCUCUCUUAAGACGGGGGACUCAUGACGGUACCGUAAGAAUAAGCACCGGCUAACUACGUGCCAGCCGCCGCGGUAA